rnacentral:lncRNA from 1 species
AGGAUUUGAAGUAGUUACAAGUCAUAUAAUCAGAGAAUUUGAAUGGCCCUUUAUUCCCCAGAUCAAUUUCUUUCUUCAACUCUGUCCAGAUCACAAAAAGAAUCAGGCAAAGGAAGGGAAAAUGGUGAAAAUAGCUUGAGAAAGUAAUCCAGUUUUAAGUGAUUUUCAGCCUCCUUUUUCUCUCCUCUCUCUUAUUUUCCAUGGCCUAAAUAGAGACCUUGAUUUCUUAAAGAAAUUUGUUCUUACCAAAUCAGAAUUAGAAGGGAAAAAAAAAAAAGAGUUACACUAAAUAGGCAAAAGAAAAUGCAAAUUUGAUAGAUCGAAGUAGAUGAAUGGUCAAUAUUGAUGCUUGAUAAUGAAAUCCAAAUUGCAGGCCAAGUAGAUUAAACCGGCCACUACUGGGAUUGAUCAAUGGAUUGUCUGGCAGAGGGUCAUUUUACAGGUUCUUGAUGGCUUAUCAUUGAAAAGUGAUGCCUGGAAAUGAUUGUUGGAGGUAAAACAAACCAUGUUUGAUGACUCCUUUACUAAGCAAGAUUUUGGAAUGAUUUGAUCACCAAUUCUCCAGAAUCUGAUGUUACUUUUGUGGGGACUUAUCACCCAAGUCACCACUUAGCCAAUCCAAUGCUGCAGCCUUCUUUUCUUCCUUCAAACUUGCCUCCUUAACAAUUUUUUUGCUUUUGUAUAUUUACACCCAGGGAUCUCAGCUUCAACCAGUAGACCACCCACGUAUGGCCCCGGAGCA